rnacentral:ncRNA from 1 species
UAUACGGCUGUGAAGAGAAGAGUAAUUAAGAUUCAUUAUUUCCAGAGAGCUUCGGUAGGUGUGAAGAAGCAAUAAUGAUCUUAAUGAAAAAAGCCUCGGAGCCUUUGCACGGAUCUAAGAUUUCUUAGUGAUACUGCCACGGGAUCUCCCGUUAUAGAGAUAGGGUAUAAUUCUUUUUUACAACGAAAGUACCCGAAGAGGUUGAUAUGGUAACAUGUCAACAAACUGGGGUGGUACCACGAAGUUAACAACUCUCGUCCUCAAG